AGUGAACGCUGGCGGUAGGCCUAACACAUGCAAGUCGAACGGCAGCACAGUAAGAGCUUGCUCUUACGGGUGGCGAGUGGCGGACGGGUGAGGAAUACAUCGGAAUCUACUUUUUCGUGGGGGAUAACGUAGGGAAACUUACGCUAAUACCGCAUACGACCUACGGGUGAAAGCAGUGGAUCUUCGGACCUUGCGCGAUUGAAUGAGCCGAUGUCGGAUUAGCUAGUUGGCGGGGUAAAGGCCCACCAAGGCGACGAUCCGUAACUGGUCUGAGAGGAUGAUCAGCCACACUGGAACUGAGACACGGUCCAGACUCCUACGGGAGGCAGCAGUGGGGAAUAUUGGACAAUGGGCGCAAGCCUGAUCCAGCCAUACCGCGUGGGUGAAGAAGGCCUUCGGGUUGUAAAGCCCUUUUGUUGGGAAAGAAAAGCAGCAGGUUAAUACCCCGCUGUUCUGACGGUACCCAAAGAAUAAGCACCGGCUAACUUCGUG
rnacentral:rRNA from 1 species